rnacentral:guide_RNA from 1 species
AUUUAACAGAACAAUAAAAGAACGGGAAACUAUAAUCGAUAAAAUAGAUAAGAUGU